ACCUACACCAAAUAUUUGCUUCAAAAGAAAGGUUCUACAUAUUUUUGUUUUACUCCUCGAAUGGUUUGUAACUUUUGGUCAAAAGUCACAAAAUUGUACUUAGAGAAAUCUAAGCCAUAUCUGGCAAGAUGAAAUUAAUUUGAGCUGCGUGUUCCACUUUCAUUAGCAGUUUCUAUUUUUUCCCUUAUGUUAUCUGCUGACUAGAAAGUCUCCUGAUUAAUACCAUCCAAGUUCUUAAGUGCAUACAAUUGUACACCUUGUCACAGAACAAGCAGGAAAGGAGCCCUAUUUUUGUCCUCGCCUAUGUACUUACAAUUGCCUUUAAAAAAAAUGAGUAUUACAUAUUGGAUAACAGAGCUCCAGCUAGGAACAAAAAGACUUGUCACUGAGCUUACUGACCUAUGAGAAAAAGUACUGUGCAGAACUAAAAUCUGAAAGGAGAUCUCCCUGCCUUUAUCUCAUCCUUGCUCACUGUGGCUUCUGCAGAGUCAGUAGUGCACAGCCCAUCUCAGUCUCAGCCACACAUCUUGGCCUACCUACAUCCACGUACGUCUCUAUCCCACAGCUUAAUCCAUUUAACACAUGGUAGCACUCUCAACUUGGAAGCCUAACGAGUGCUUUGCUUACUUCCCUCACCUAAAGUAAAGGCCAUGUUGUAUUUUAAAUCAUAUGUAGUCAGUGAAGUACCACUUCUGUGACUAGUAGGCUUUCUCUACCUCCGGAAUAGAAGUUCAUCAUUAGAAGUAGGGUAGAUUUAGACUAGAUAGAGGGUAGAUUUAGACAAGGAUAGAUUAAGGCCAGGUAUUAGGACGAAAUUCUUUACUGUGAGAGUGAUAGAGACACUAGAACAGGUUACCCAGUGAGGCUGUGGAUGCUCUCACCUGGAGGCAUCCAAGGCCAGGCUGGACGGGGCUUUGAGCAGCCUGGUCUAGAGGGAGGUGUCCUGCCCAUAACAGGUAUUUGGAACUUAUGAUGAUCUUAAAGGUCCUUUCUAACCCAAACCAUUCUGUGAUUCUAUGAUUCUAUCUUCUUAUCUUUUAUGUUAACAGCAAAACUCACAGUGACUUCAGGAAAGGUGACCCUCAAGUUGGUAUGACUGCGUUUGUACAUGCCACUUUGACUUACUGAGGCUUAGCAUUCCUACCCAUGCAAUGAGGAAAAGAAAGCUUAACUUGUGAGCAAAGGCAGAAAGACAAGCUGUUCUCGUGUUCUGUGUCGUACAAGUAUGAGAAUGAAGAGGACGUUUCCUCUGGAAUACUGCUGAUGGUGGUAGUUCAGAAUAUAAUGAGCAUCUUCAGAGAAAUUACCGUUCUGAGUGUUCUACCAGCUGAACAGAAACCAUCAAGAUCUUGCCCAGAACUCUGUGCAGUCAGUGGAAAAAGUGCCAGUUCAGUGACUUUGUAUCUUAAUGUUUACUGCCUCUCAUUCUCUUAUGAUAAGCAAAAAUAAAGUCCAAUCUCCAACCCAAAGAACAAACCCAAAAGGAAACAUGAAACACUUUAUAAAAUUUUCUUUGUAAUAAUUGAAAAGGUACUCUAUGAAAAUAUUGAAAUUCUAUUUUGAAUAGGAUGCUUUAUAUACAAAACAUUUAAAAUAAAACUGCUUGCAUGAUUUUGUUGAAACCAAACUGUUCUAAAUAAUGUGUGAACUGAGUAAUUUCGCACACCUGUGAUGGAAAUUCAUGAAACCAUGACCUUGAGUCUGCUUCUGGGUUGGUUUUUUUUCCACCUUAACUGAGAAGGUUCAGAUACACACAACACCAAAAACUAUUUGAGUAUUUCAGAGGGUCUUUAACAGCCAGGGACUAUGAGCUAGAAAUGUAAAUGUUUCUUUUGAGUUCCAAAGGAAGCACAGUAAGAGUAUGGACUUCUUGUGGAUUUUGUGCUUGUCAAAUUGGAGCUGCACACCAAAAUACUGCAGUGUGUAAGAGCCCCGUAUGGUAGGCAUCCCAGUGAAGGAGAGAAUCCUAAGGCCUCCCAUAAUUCAGAUCAGCCAGACUGCAUGUGGCAACCACAUAGACAAGAAACCAUCAAGGAUGCAGAACUUCAUGUGUAGCUUUUCAUCAAAUACAUAAAUGGCAUAGCUUUAUUAUUUCCUCUUUUAAAUUAGUGUAAAACAUGUUCUAAGUGAGGCUCUGUCUUGCAAAGCACUACUGUUACUGACAUAGAGGUUAGGCAUCUGUACUCUUAAAAAAAAUAUUUGUUGCUUUUUCUCAGUGCUGUGUUAAAUCUCUAAAGGGAUACAAGAGUAGUUUUGACGUAGUAGUAAUUUUUGACAUUCAGAACUCAAAACUCUGGUGUUAAUAAAUUAGAAUACCCAGAAAAAUAGAAUAGAAUCACAGACCAGCACAGGUUGGAAAGGACUUUGGAAGAUCAUCAGGCCCAACCUUUAACAGAUGUCUGUAUGAUGAAUCUUAAAAAUCAGUAGUCUAGCAGUGAGUGCUAUCUUGCUUGUGUUCAAUAAGGAAAGAAUUUUUAUUUUUGUUAAAGUAUUUGAACAGCUGUUGCUGACUAUUUUAUGUGCUCUAAAAAGAAAGGGAGGAUACUGUAAUAGGACUGUGUUAGUUCUCUUGUAUAUUCAUUAACUGCUUUCCUGGACGCUGUCACACACACUGCAGAGCCCCCUGCUGUUAAGGGCCAUCCAAAAUAUUUUUGUAUGUUUUGCUGUGCCUGAAACUUCUCAGUUAAAAUGAAAAACAAAAUCCUGAAAUAUUUUCCAGGUUCUCAUUGCAUGAUUUAAUCUCAAUCCAGCAACAGAUCUGGAUGUUUUGCCUAUAUGAAACGCAACUGUGUUUUUGGCAACGGUCACGGUUUAUAGAAAAUAUAAACUUGUCUUUGUGUAUCUGUGGAGAAAGACCUCUGCUGGCAGCAGAUCGAUGUCGGCUGAAAGCAGUACACACAGCGAGAAGGUAAACAAAACUCACCCUGUGAGAGAUCAUUUAAAUACUGACGAGAAAAGGAACAUGGCAAGUUAGCCAAUUCAGUUGCUCUGCACACAGCAGAAGCCAUAACACAGGGAUGGAUGCUCACAAGUGCAGAAUAUCUUCUCACACUCUGUGUGGGAGCUGGACUUGAAGCAUCAAAUGGCUGUGGAGUCCAUAGGCAUGAAUGCUAAGAAUGAGAGAAAGAGUGGGAGAACAGAGAGGCCACAGAGCGCCGACAUGAGCUGUUAGGAAUGAGACUCAAGGAGGAGGGGUGGAAACAAAUCAAUAGGUCGUACUGUUCUAGGAAAGCAUUCUGCACGUGACAAAAUGUUUGGCUAUUUAUUCAUCAUACAAUAAUUGUUAGUAAGGAUGGAGUGGCAUGGCAAACUGAGAAUCUUUAGGGGACUUUCUAGGGCAUAAAUGUCAUUUAAUUCUGGGAAAUGACGUAGCAGAAGUCCAGCACUUUUCCUAUUGUUUAGAUCGUGACAGAUUGUGACAGUGGCAAUGUUACUGUAGUAGCACACUGCUGUCUGAGAACACCUACUGUGGUAGGUGUCUGCAGGAAGAGGAAUGUGCAUAUGAGAUUCCAAUAAGGAUUGUAUGUAUGCAGGAAGGAGACACUGGGCUGAGAAUUGGGAAAACUAGAUUGAACAAAACUGUACACUGUAUAUCUUACAUUUAUCUAUGAGAGAUAAAGUUAAUACUUAGAUAUGUUCAUUGUGAUUUAAAAUGCAGCAUGUAGAAAACUACCCUGAGCAUAUUUGUGUAGAGAUGAUAAUCAGAGUUCAGCCAUUAGUGUUGAACUACUUUUAAUAUUUAGGACUUUAAAACUCUUCUAGAUACAUUUUUACCAUAUGCACUAUGUAUUAUGAAUGGAUUUUUGUUUGCCUGCAAUUCAUAGCACUCAUCCAUUCCAGCACUGCUUUCAUAACAUGAAGCGAGCAUUACACCUGAAGUCUAACUGCUCUUUGAUGCUGUGGUGUAAAUCCUGGUUGCAGAACAGUUUAACAAGCGUCUUCUCUCUUUUACUUUAUGUGAGUAGUUUAAAUUCAAAACACUCAAAUUAUGUUAUUGUCUUUAAAAUAAAAUACAAUGCAGUUGAGACCUGUUAGAUCUGCCAGCAUUUGUUUUAUCAACCAAAGUAAAAAAAAUCUUCUGUGCUGCAACAAUGUGAAAGCUUCUGCUGGAACCAAAUGUGGCACGUAGGACUUCUGGUGGAAAACAAGUAGAAAACCACGUAUCAAACAGAGCCUUCUGGUGAUUUAAAACUUGUAGCAGUUCUACAGGUAAUCAAUUCUUUUAAGAAGAAUGCAAAACAACAACAAAGAAACAGUACAGUUGGUCUAUUACUGGAGUAUAUAUUUUUAGUGUCUUUAUUUCAUUUACAUAUAUGAAUGAAUAUAUAAAGAUCUAUUUAUAUAAAAAUGUGAAAUCCAAUACAGUAAGUACAGUAUGUUGUACAAAUAUGGAUCAUAAUCUAAUGCAUUUAGGUGGCUCGUGGUGGCUUCGUGGAGUCCCUUUCCAACGCAAGGUCUGCCCCUCUCCAGUAGGAUGUUUUGAGAUGGCUUUUCCUUCUUCAGAGCGGUUGCUAAAGAAAGGGUGUAGGAGUAUGGAAAAAGUGGGAAAGUGGACCUUAAACAGUUUACUGGUGAUUUUAACCCUCCAUUUUCCUUGUUUUGCAUGUGAAAAACAGCAUAGGACCAGAGCUGUAUUGCUGUUUUGGCUAGGAGCUCUCUUUGGGGAGCUGCCCUGAUAAUUACAGAGAUAAACUGUCAACAACAAAAGUGGGUAAAUGAUUGUAAGUGACUGUGCUUGGACCUGGAACUGCAACCUUCCUCUUCAAACGGCUGACUGAGACAUCUCUACUCCUUGGGUCAUGGUUAGCAUGAAAUUAAAAAUGAAAUUAAAAAUUUAAAUAAGAAUUUUUUUUUACCCUGAAAUUGUUACCUGUGAACUUUGUCAUAUGAGAAGGUUAAUUGUCAGGAUUACUGAAAGGAAUCACAUUUCCAAUGCUUAAGGUGGGAAUGCACCUCCUUACUGUUAUGAUGUUAUGUAAAUUCCCUAUGUUAUCUCCUAAAUAUUCUGAUUUUCCUUAGUAUAGAUAGAUAAAAUUGGUUUCUCUGUGCUGAUUAGAGGACAUUUCAUUUUUUACUGUGUUUAUGUUACACACAGCAAUAAUGUUGCUUAGAAACCUGUAAUAAAAGCACAUUGCUGAUGUA